rnacentral:rRNA from 1 species
CCUACGGGGGGCAGCAGUGGGGAAUAUUGCGCAAUGGGCGAAAGCCUGACGCAGCGACGCCGCGUGAGGGAUGAAGGUCUUCGGAUCGUAAACCUCUUUCAGCAGGGAAGAACGGUCACUGUGCUAAUCAGCAGUGAAUUGACGGUACCUGCAAAGGAAGCACCGGCUAACUCCGUGCCAGCAGCCGCGGUAAUACGGAGGGUGCGAGCGUUAAUCGGAAUUACUGGGCGUAAAGCGCUCGUAGGCGGUAUGUCAAGUCAAGGGUGAAAUCCCCGCGCUCAACCUGGGAACUGCCUUAGAAACUGGCAAACUGGAGUGUGUGAGAGGAUAGUGGAAUUCCAGGUGUAGGAGUGAAAUGCGUAGAUAUCUGGAGGAACAUCAGUGGCGAAGGCGACUAUCUAACACAUAACUGACGCUGAGGAGCGAAAGCGUGGGUAGCAAACAGGAUUAGAUACCCUUGUAGUC